rnacentral:lncRNA from 1 species
UCAUUGCGGCUGGCGUUCCCAAUACAGACGCAUCGUUUCUUUUUUAAUACUCCCUAAGAAAGGGAAUAACCUUCAAGCUGGCGGGAGCAAUGGUUCACAUAAAGAAAGGCGAGCUGACCCAGGAGGAGAAGGAGCUACUGGAAGUCAUCGGGAAAGGCGUGCCCCACUUCCGCAGUGCUGAGUCCCAGCGGGGAGCCCCGAGGACGAGCCAGAAGCCAUAUUUCCCCGGAGUCCCCGAGUGGACGUCCCAGAGGAGUUCCCUGCCGAGUCCCGUUACCUGGCAGGUGACAUCAGCGUGACUGCAUGCUUCUUCUGCACCCUCACGGUGCAGGGAUGGUGAUGCGUACUGUCCAAGAAGCUGGAACAUUAUUAUCCAGCAAGAAUGUUCGUGUCAACUGUUUGGACGAGAAUGGAAUGACUCCUCUAAUGCAUGCAGCAUAUAAAGGAAAACUCGAUAUGUGCAAAUUACUACUGCGACAUGGAGCCGAUGUAAAUUGUCAUCAGCAUGAACAUGGAUACACAGCCCUCAUGUUUGCUGCACUUUCUGGUAAUAAAGACAUCACAUGGGUAAUGUUAGAAGCUGGUGC